rnacentral:lncRNA from 1 species
AAAGUGAGAACGGAUAUAUCAGUUAAAUUGUUCAUUGAAUUGAGUUGACUUUUGAAUAUAAAUGAGGAACAAGACGAAGAUUGACAUUCAAAGAAAAUUUGAUUGCAAAAAGAAGAAACUAAGAUAAGUUAUAAUGGGAGAGGGUGUGUUGGUGGUUAAGUAGGUGGAAAUGGACCUACAAAAUUUCAGUUGGUACGACAGACAAUUUGGGUGAAAUCUUAAUUGAAAUGAAA